UACGUAGGGUGCAAGCGUUAACCGGAAUUACUGGGCGUAAAGCGUGCGCAGACGGUUUUGUAAGUUUGUCGUGAAAGCCCCGGGCUCAACCUGGGAAUGGCGAUGAAGACUGCAAGGCUUGAAUCUGGCAGAGGGGGGUAGAAUUCCACGUGUAGCAGUGAAAUGCGUAGAGAUGUGGAGGAACACCGAUGGCGAAGGCAGCCCCCUGGGUCAAGAUUGACGCUGAUGCACGAAAGCGUGGGGAGCAAACAGG
rnacentral:rRNA from 1 species